rnacentral:misc_RNA from 1 species
AACGCACAUUGCGCCCGCUAGUAUUCUGGCGGGCAUGCCUGUUCGAGCGUCAUUUCAACCAUCAAGCCCCCGGCUUGUGUUGGGGACCUGCGGCUGCCGCAGGCCCUGAAAUCCAGUGGCGGGCUCGCCGUAGCACCGAGCGUAGUAGCAUACUUCUCGCUCCGGUAGCAGCGGCGGGCGCCUGCCGUAAAACCCCCCUUAAAAUCUCAAGGUUGACCUCGGAUCAGGUAGGAAUACCCGCUGAACUUAA